UACGAAGGGGGCUAGCGUUGCUCGGAAUCACUGGGCGUAAAGGGUGCGUAGGCGGGUCUUUAAGUCAGGGGUGAAAUCCUGGAGCUCAACUCCAGGACUGCCUUUGAUACUGAGGAUCUUGAGUUCGGGAGAGGUGAGUGGAACUGCGAGUGUAGAGGUGAAAUUCGUAGAUAUUCGCAAGAACACCAGUGGCGAAGGCGGCUCACUGGCCCGAUACUGACGCUGAGGCGCGAAAGCGUGGGGAGCAAACAGG
rnacentral:rRNA from 1 species